GCGGAGGAAAGAACUAACAAGGAUUCCCCUAGUAACUGCGAGUGAAGCGGGAAAAGCUCAAAUUUAAAAUCUGAUGGUCUUUGGCCAUCCGAGUUGUAAUUUAGAGAAGCGACUUCCGCGCUGAACCCGUGCACAAGUCUCCUGGAAUGGAGCGUCAUAGAGGGUGAGAAUCCCGUCUUUGGCAUGGACCCGUCAGGGCUUUUGUGAUGCGCUCUCGAAGAGUCGAGUUGUUUGGGAAUGCAGCUCAAAAUGGGUGGUGAACUCCAUCUAAAGCUAAAUAUUGGCGAGAGACCGAUAGCGAACAAGUACCGUGAGGGAAAGAUGAAAAGCACUUUGGAAAGAGAGUGAAACAGUACGUGAAAUUGUUGAAAGGGAAACGCUUGAAGUCAGUCGCAUCGACCGAGACUCAGCCUCCGCCUUGGCUUGGUGUACUUCUCGGAUCGAUGGGUCAGCAUCGCAUUUCGCCUCUCGGAUAAUGGCGGGGGAAAUGUGACACCUUUUAGGUGUGUUAUAGUCUUCUGUCGCAUGCGAGGGGUCGGGAUCGAGGAACUCAGCACGCGCCUCUUGGUGUCGGAGCCUUUUGGCUCACGUUACGUGCUUAGGAUGUUGGCGUAAUGGCUUU
rnacentral:rRNA from 1 species